rnacentral:pre_miRNA from 1 species
CUAACCCCCUUAUUCAUAAAAAAGUUACUGAACGGAUUAACUAUUGAACUGUUCUGUCAAACAAUUUGUUCUUUGACAGAGAGUGACAAAACAGUUCAAUAGCUAAUCCGUCCAGUAACUUUUUUAUGAAUAAGGGGGUAAG